CACCAGCCCCCGAGUGGUGGGGAUGAUUAUUUGGCCUAAAGCGUCCGUAGCCGGCCCGGUAAAUCUCUCGUUAAAUCCAGCGUUCCAAGCGUUGGGCUGCGAGGGAGACUGCCAGGCUAGAGGGUGGGAGAGGUCAGCGGUAUUCCUGGGGUAGGGGCGAAAUCCAUUGAUCCCAGGAGGACCACCAGUGGCGAAGGCUGCUAACUAGAACACGCCUGACGGUGAGGGACGAAAGCUGGGGUAGCGAAUCGGAUUAGAUACCCGAGUAGUCCCAGCCGUAAACGAUGCAGGCUAGGUGUUGGGGCGGCCACGCGCCGCCUCAGUGCCACAGGGAAGCCAUUAAGCCUGCCGCCUGGGGAGUACGGCCGCAAGGCUGAAACUUAAGGAAUUGGCGGGGAGCACUACCAGGCGUGAAGCCUGCGGUUU
rnacentral:rRNA from 1 species